GCAAGUCGAGCGCUACCUUCGGGUGGAGCGGCGGACGGGUGAGUAACGCGUGGGAACGUGCCCUUCUCUGCGGGAUAGCCACUGGAAACGGUGAGUAAUACCGCAUACGCCCUUUUGGGGAAAGAUUUAUCGGAGAAGGAUCGGCCCGCGUCUGAUUAGGUAGUUGGUGGGGUAAUGGCCUACCAAGCCGAUGAUCUUUAGCUGGUUUGAGAGGAUGAUC
rnacentral:rRNA from 1 species